GACGAACGCUGGCGGCGUGCUUAACACAUGCAAGUCGAACGGAAAGGCCCUGCUUUUGUGGGGUGCUCGAGUGGCGAACGGGUGAGUAACACGUGAGUAACCUGCCCUUGACUUUGGGAUAACUUCAGGAAACUGGGGCUAAUACCGGAUAGGAGCUCCUGCUGCAUGGUGGGGGUUGGAAAGUUUCGGCGGUUGGGGAUGGACUCGCGGCUUAUCAGCUUGUUGGUGGGGUAGUGGCUUACCAAGGCUUUGACGGGUAGCCGGCCUGAGAGGGUGACCGGUCACAUUGGGACUGAGAUACGGCCCAGACUCCUACGGGAGGCAGCAGUGGGGAAUAUUGCACAAUGGGCGGAAGCGUGAUGCAGCAACGCCGCGUGCGGGAUGACGGCCUUCGGGUUGUAAACCGCUUUCGCCUGUGACGAAGCGUGAGUGACGGUAAUGGGUAAAGAAGCACCGGCUAACUACGUG
rnacentral:rRNA from 1 species